rnacentral:rRNA from 1 species
GUUGUAUGGUUAAGUGACUAAGCGUACACGGUGGAUGCCUUGGCAGUCAGAGGCGAUGAAGGACGUAGUAACUUGCGAUAAGCCCAGAUAAGGCAGUAACAGCCAUUUGAAUCUGGGAUUUCCGAAUGGGGAAACCCACGUGCAUAAGCACGUAUCAUGCAGUGAAUACAUAGCUGUAUGAGGCGAACUCGGGGAAC